rnacentral:hammerhead_ribozyme from 1 species
ACCCAGCUGACGAGUCCCAAAUAGAACGAAACGCAUGUCAUAGAU